CCGCGGCCGUUCUGGUUGGGCCGGUACACGCUGCCCACGCUGAGGCGGCCCUGCUGCGCGCCGUUCCGCUCCCCACCCGGCGGGGGCGUGUCGGAGCUGCGCACCGGCAGGUAGGGCGGCUCCAGCGCGCGCGGCGGCCCGUACGCCUCGGGCGGCGGGUUGGCGUAGGGCGGGUACCAGCCCAGGCGUGGGUCUCCGCCAUGGGCCUGCGCCGCCUCGGGACCGGGGUCAGGGAGCUCCUGCCUGCCUGGAUGAAGAGGAGGUCAAGACUUUGUCCCCCACUCCGCAAGAUACCCUCUCUGUUCCGGAGCGGUGAGACAGGAUUUCACCAUGUUAGCCAGGAUGGUCUUGAUCUCCUGACCUCAUGAUCUGCCCACCUCGGCCUCCCAAAGUGCUGGGCUUACAGGCGUGAGCCACCGUGCCCGGCCAAAAAUAACUUUUAAAAACAUGAGUAUAGCAUACACACACACAAAAGUCCACAAAUCCUAGGUGUACCACUUGAUGAAUGAUCCCAACGUGAGCACACCUCUGGAUUACCACCUGGAUCAAGAAAUAGGACAUCACAGCAGCUGGCAGCUUCCAAGGAGAAGCUCUGGAAAGUUCUGCCUGUCUCAGCACCUGGCUGGAUCGGAAACGAGUUUUCUUUAACCAGAUUUUUAAUGACUGACUUAUGUGGACAAAUCAUAACUGAAUGAAUCACCUCCUUUGUUGAUUUUUUUGGGUACUUUAUUUGCUAUUAUAAAUGAUGCUGUAAUAAGCACCCUUGAAGAAAUCUUCAUAUCUGCCUCUCCUGUGUAGCAGGUCACAGUGCCUGGGUUUGGUUCUAGCCCUCAUUUGUGAACUGUGUGACUCACCAUGCCUUUUUUCUUUCUGUAAGACAGGAAUAAUGGUAAGAAUUUAAAUGGGGGUAAUAUGGAGCGCGUUUAGUUCAGAGCCUGGUGCAUACAAGCACUCAAUAAGUACUGGCGAUUAUUAGACCUUUAGAUUAAUUUAUUAGAAGUUGGAUUUCUGGUGAAAGGGUUUGAGUGUUUUUGAGGCUUUGGCACAGAAUACCCAGCUGGUCCCAGAAAGGUGGUUCCCAUUUACCUGCCCGAAGGUAAUUCACCCUUACUGAUACUGAGUACUGUUUUCUAAAAGAACAUUAAAAAUUGGAUAGGUUAAAAACAGGUGAAUACAUUUUUUUAGUUGCAUUUUUUUGGUUACCCGUGAGAGUGAACAUGUUGCCAUGUGUUUGCUGACCUCCUAAAUGGUCUAUUUGCUCCUACCUUUGUACCCCAAAAGUCUGCUCUCAAGAUGGUAGCCAGAAUGAUCCUUUUUGAGACAUAAGUCAAAAUUUCACUCUUCUCCUUAAAGCUCUGCAAUGGUUCUCAGGUUAAAAGCCAAAGUCCUGUUCAAGGCCUCCAGGGUCCUCACCACUUGGUCCCUUGCUCUUUCUGUUCUAGCCAACUUGGCCUUCUCCUGCCCCUCCGCCGCACCAUGGCAAUUUCCCCUGCUCUGUGUGGUCAACUACCUGAAUCUGUUCAAAGCUUUGCUCAAAUGUCUCCUUCCUGAUGAGACCUCCCCAGCCCCUGAGCUCCCCAUGCCUCACUCCUGAUCGCCUUACUUAACCCUUCUUUUUCUUUUUUGCCAGUAGUACUUAUCACCGUCUAAAAUACUUCAUAAUUUACUUGUUUAUUGUUUGCCCCUCUCCAAUAGAAUGUAAGCUCCUUGGGGCAGGGACCUUUGUCCUUUGUCUUGUUCACUGCUGUGUCCCAUGUGUAAACUUGUCUGGCACAGAAGAGGUGCUCGAUAAAUAUUUGUUGAGUGAAUGAAUGGUAAAUUUUCUGUUCAUAUUCUUUGACUAUUUUCUAUUGUAAUGUUCAUCUUUUUAGUAUUGGUUUAUAAGAUGUAUAUUUAGCACCUUUUCAUAUAUCACUCUUUGUCACAUAUUAUGCAACUAAUUUGUCAUUUCCAUCAAUUUUUAAAAUACUUUCUUGAUGCUUCAUUUUUAAGCUGUCAGAUUAUUAAUCUUUUCUUUAUGGUCUUGGACUUUAUUGUUGCAUAACCGCUGCCUUCACCAGGAACAUAUAAAUUUUCAAUUAAAUGUUCUUCUGAGAUUUUAUGAUUUCACUUUUUAUAUUAAACUCUUCAUUUUGUCUUCAUGUGUGGUGAGAGGUAAGAACAUAACUUUAAAGCAAAUUAACCAACUAUCCCCAAAUGAAUUAUAAAUAAAUUAAUCAUUUUCCAA
rnacentral:lncRNA from 1 species